rnacentral:misc_RNA from 1 species
GGGAGAGCACACAAGCCUGAUGAGUCCGUGAGGACGAAACGGUACCCGGUACCGUC